AUGCUGCUUGAGCUGCCAGAGACGCACGUUGAAAAGACAACGAGCCCGUCCGAACAGACUGCCGGUUUUAUAACCGCAAGGCCCAUGUUGUCCUCGUUUAUAUGUUGUUGCUGUUCUCACGUGAGUCCAAGAUUUACAGAAUGUGAUGCUCCAGUGAAAGCUGCCCACCCACCAAAAAACACUUUCAGAGAAAUCUCAACUGCAAAGCCAUCCUACAAGGCAAGACAAGGCAGACGGGAGGGAGAAUACACACAGAGAAUGAAAAACCUUCCUAUGUGGAGCUGGCUAGUUUUAUGUCAGCUUGACAAAAGCUAAAGUAACUGGAGAGGAGGGAGGGAGCCUCAAAUGAGAAAAUGCCUAGGUCAGAUUGCUGUAGGCAAUCCUGGAGGGUGUUUUCUUAGCCAGUGAUUGACAUGAGAGGGCCCAGCCCAUUGUGGGUGGGACUGGGUUGUAUAAGGAAGCAGGCUGAGAAAGCCAUGGUGAACAAACCUAUAAGCAGCACCCCUCCAUGGCUUCUGCAUCAGCUCCUGCCUCCAGGUUCUUACUCUGUUUCACUUCCUGCCCUGACGUCUUUGAUGAUGUAAACAGUGUCGUGGAAGUCUAAGUUGAAUGAACCCCUUCCUCUCCAACUUGAUAUUGGUCAUGGUGUCUCAUUGAAGCAACAGCGACCCUAAGACACAUGCUAAGCCUCCAACUGCUACUUAGGAUACAGAGGCAUCUCUUUCUCUCAAGAAUUCUAAGAUAGAGAAUAAAACAGCUGCUUUCCCCUGGAGAGAGAGAGAGAAAGAGAG
rnacentral:lncRNA from 1 species